rnacentral:tRNA from 5 species
GCCCUGGUGGCGGAAUUGGUAGACGCGCACGGUUCAGGUCCGUGUGUUUAACGACGUGGAGGUUCGAGUCCUCUCCAGGGCACCA